CACCUCUCCCGUGCUCCCUACCGGCCCAAGGAGCUGAGAGCUCUCUCAAGCACUCUCUCCCUUUCUCCCAAAAUCCGACCUCAAGAGAAGGAUUUGAGGGUUGAAACACAAGGAACACCAAAUUUCUUCCUCUCCCAAGCGAUUUCCUAAGUUUCCUUCAUCACCCGGUGGUCACCGACCUCCACAAGUACCUUGGAACUAGCACGUGGCCCGGCCGUGGUUGAAGGCAACACUAAUCUAUCGGAAUUCUGUGAGUGUUACGCGUGUAGCAUUAGGCGAUCACCUGAGCAGCAAGGCAAGCAUCUAAGCGUAUUUCUCCCAAUACUUUGGAUCUCGUAUGAUAUCAUGUGAUAAAUAUGCUUUAUGUAUGUUAUGCAUGAGUUUGAGUCAAUGUUGAAUUUAUGAUGGGUAGAACCAAUGUUGAUGCACUAAUUCUCCUAUCAUGAAUAAUU